GCUUUCUUGGUGUAGUGGUCAGCACGCUGGGCGCGUAUUCCAGAGGUCCGUGGUUCGAGUCCCGGUGAAGUCG
rnacentral:tRNA from 1 species